GGGCUUUUAUUGGCGGCGUGAGCUGAGGGAGGGUGUCCAGCGUCUGCUUCAGGUCACAUGUAUAUAUAUAUAUACAUUAAUACAGGCCUAUGAGUGCUUAAGCACAUGAUUGUUCAGUGUACAAAGGAAGAAAACAAGGCUCCACUUCUCCACAUGCAAGUCCCUGUGCAGACUUCCAAGUGUGCUCCAGUGUGUCUAAUGAAAGAUCAGCGCUGGAUUCAGUUAGAAACCAAUAGGAUCUGGGAAGAAAACAAGCUCAUGCUGUCCAGACAAUUGACUUUCCUUUCUU